UUUAAAAUGUACAGGUAGUAGUGUAUGCAUUCUUACAUAUACAUGUAAACAGAAAAAUAAAUUAUCCUAAUAGAUGACGAAAUGUUUGUUUUAAAAUUUAUCGUACGAAAAUCGGUAUUCUUAGCAAAUGCGAUAGUGACUUUAAGUUACAUUCUCGUAAACUUAAAUAUUGAAAUUAGUUAAAAGCCUAACAAGAGGUUAUAUUAUAAAAUCACAAACACUAAUUUCAAUAUAAAUCAGCUUGGGAAAAAUUGUACACAUUGUGUAUGAAGUGAAUGCAUCGAUUCAUUAUUAAAGCAGAGAUAUACCAAAUGAAUCAUAAUAAUAUUUGAUAUUAAUAAAAAAUUCAAAUCGUAUAAAAACAUAAUUAAAAAUGCCUUUUAACUUAGGAGAAAUUAAACCCAGAGAAUUGAUCACUGUAUCAAUAUUAUGCUUUAUUAAUUUAAUAAAUUAUAUGGACCGUUUUACUGUCGCUGGAAUGUUAACAAAGAUCAAGGAUGACUUUAAUAUUGGUUACGAUAAGUCUGGCUUAUUACAGACAGCAUUUAUAAUAAGUUAUAUGAUAUUCGCUCCAUUGUUUGGAUAUCUUGGUGAUAGGUAUAAUCGUAAAACCAUUAUGGGUAUAGGCGUCUUCCUAUGGAGUCUUACAACAUUAAUUGGAUCUUUUAUGACGACAUUUGAGACAUUUUUAAUAUUCAGAGCCAUGGUUGGCAUAGGAGAAGCUAGUUAUUCAACAAUUGCACCAACAUUAAUUAGUGAUUUAUUUAUUGAUGAUGUUCGUUCCAAAAUGCUUGCAUUGUUCUACUUUGCAAUACCCGUUGGAAGUGGAAUGGGUUAUAUUAUCGGAGGAGAAAUGUCAAAAGUAACAGGUUCAUGGCAAUGGGGUUUACGUGUCACACCUGUACUAGGGAUACUAGCAAUUAUACUAUUACUUAUCGGAGUAAAAGAACCUGUUAGAGGUGAAAGAGAAGGUGGUAUACAUAUUACUAAUACGGCAUGGUUACAAGAUGUAAAAGCUUUAAUGAAGAAUCCAAGUUUUACACUUUCUACAGCUGGGUUUACAUGUGUAUCGUUUGUUGCUGGCGCAUUAUCUUGGUGGGCACCAACAUAUUUGCAACUAGGAUUUAAAUUAAUUGGAUCUGAUGUAGAUUCACUUAAUGUGGAUUAUAAAUUUGGAUUAAUAGGAAUGAUGUCUGGGAUAAUAGGAGUACCUUUAGGAUCUUUUUUAGCACAAAAACUUCGAUUACGUUGGACAACUAUAGACCCAUUGAUAUGUGCUACCGGUCUAUUAAUAAGCGCUCCAUUAAUAUUUUUUGCAACAAUUACCGCUAAUACUAAUGCUACUCUUUGUUAUGUAUUAAUAUUUUUAGGACAAGUAGCUUUAAAUUUAAAUUGGGCUAUUGUAGCAGACAUGUUGCUUUAUGUAGUAAUACCAACUAGAAGAUCUACGGCAGAAGCUUUUCAAAUAUUAUUUGCACAUGCCUUUGGAGAUGCUGGAAGUCCUUACCUUAUAGGUCUAAUAUCAGAAGGGCUAAAAGUAGUUAUUCUACCAAAUCUGAGUUUAGGUGGUUCUGCCAGUGAUGUUCCCUCAGUUUACAGUGAUAUUGUAGAAUUUCGUAGUUUACAAUAUGCACUAUUCGUUACUAUUUUUGUGCAAGUUCUUGGAGCCUUGUUCUUCUUUUUCACUGCUCUAUACAUAGAGAAAGACAGAGCGUUAGUUGAACUACUUACUAUUACAACCACCGGCACUUCAAGCACAAUUGCAUCUGUUAGUGUAGUAAACAAGUAGCCGUUUAUAUAUUGCAAUACUAUACAUGGAAAUGGUGAUAUAGUAUCGUGCAAUGCUUUGUACAAAUAUCUAGAUACUAAGAAUAAUGGGCAAGCUGCAACAACACGUUUAUAGGUCAUCGUCUGUAAUGGGCCACAUCUGAUA
rnacentral:misc_RNA from 1 species